GGCCGUGUGGCGAAAUGGCAUCGCGUCUGACUACGAUUCGAAGUUACCUAUCAGGAGAUUGCAGGUUCGACCCCUGUCUCGGUCA